AUACGAAGGGGGCUAGCGUUGCUCGGAAUUACUGGGCGUAAAGGGAGCGUAGGCGGACUGUUUAGUCAGAGGUGAAAGCCCAGGGCUCAACCUUGGAAUUGCCUUUGAUACUGGCAGUCUUGAGUACGGAAGAGGUAUGUGGAACUCCGAGUGUAGAGGUGAAAUUCGUAGAUAUUCGGAAGAACACCAGUGGCGAAGGCGACAUACUGGUCCGUUACUGACGCUGAGGCUCGAAAGCGUGGGGAGCAAACAGGAUUAGAAACCCUAGUAGUCC
rnacentral:rRNA from 1 species